GAAAGAAAGAAGAAGAAGAAAUGGAGGUGAGAAAAGGAAGAAUUUUCAAGGAAAGAAGGAAGAAAUUUCAGAGGAGGAGAAAGAAGAAUUUGGAGGGAAAGAAGAGAGAGAGAAAAUAGCAUAAAGAAACCUGGAAUUCUGGAAUACUCCCAUUGAUCUGUUCAGGCUUGUGACUCUAGCAAGAAGGAUUGGAAGCAAACCUAGCUCAGAAUAUGGUUCUGAUGUCAAUUUGUUACAUAACAGCUUGCGCCCUUAGUGACAAAGAGGAAUAGAGAGAGAAAGAGAGAGAAAUAGAUG
rnacentral:misc_RNA from 1 species